rnacentral:misc_RNA from 1 species
UUUCCGUAGGUGAACCUGCGGAAGGAUCAUUCAUAAUAAGUGUUUUAUGGCACUUUUUUAAAUCCAUAUCCACCUUGUGUGCAAUGUCAGGGUUGAUUUUUCUCUCGAGAGGAUCAACCUCAAGCAUCAACUAUAUCUCAACUCUUUGUCUGAAAAAUAUUAUGAAUAAAACAAUUCAAAAUACAACUUUCAACAACGGAUCUCUUGGCUCUC